rnacentral:sRNA from 1 species
AGAAAAGUAGGUGCCGCCCCGCACAGGGGCGACGCUUGAAGCGGGCAAAACAAAUCGCGGAUGCCAGCGCAAAAUCAAAUCCCGCAUGCCCGCGCAAAACCAAA